rnacentral:rRNA from 1 species
GACGAACGCUGGCGGCGUGCUUAACACAUGCAAGUCGAACGGAAAGGCCCUGCUUUUGUGGGGUGCUCGAGUGGCGAACGGGUGAGUAACACGUGAGUAACCUGCCCUUGACUUUGGGAUAACUUCAGGAAACUGGGGCUAAUACCGGAUAGGAGCUCCUGCUGCAUGGUGGGGGUUGGAAAGUUUCGGCGGUUGGGGCUGGACUCGCGGCUUAUCAGCUUGUUGGUGGGGUAGUGGCUGACCAAGGCUUUGACGGGUAGCCGGCCUGAGAGGGUGACCGGCCGCAUGAGGACUGAGAGACGGCCCAGACUCCUACGGGAGGCAGCAGGGGAGAGUCUUGCACAAUGGGCGGAAGCCAGAGGCAGCAACGCCGGGUGCGGGAUACCCGCCUACGGGUGGUAAACCACUUUCGCCUGUGACGAGGCGGGAGUGACGGUAAUGGGUAAAGAAGCACCGGCUAACUACGUG